AGCGAACGCUGGCGGCAGGCCUAACACACGCAAGUCGAACGAACCUUUCGGGGUUAGUGGCGGACGGGUGAGUAACACGUGGGAACGUGCCUUUAGGUUCGGAAUAACUCAGGGAAACUUGUGCUAAUACCGAAUGUGCCCUUCGGGGGAAAGAUUAAUCGCCUUUAGAGCGGCCCGCGUCUGAUUAGCUAGUUGGUUGAGGUAAUGGCUCGCCAAGGCGACGAUCAGUAGCUGGUCUGAGAGGAUGAUCAGCCACAUUGGGACUGAGACACGGCCCAAACUCCUACGGGAGGCAGCAGUGGGGAAUCUUGCGCAAUGGGCGAAAGCCUGACGCAGCCAUGCCGCGCGAAUGAUGAAGGUCUUAGGAUUGUAAAAUUCUUUCACCGGGGACGAUAAUGACGGUACCCGGAGAAGAAGCCCCGGCUAACUUCGUG
rnacentral:rRNA from 1 species